CCUACGGGAGGCUGCAGUGGGGAAUAUUGGACAAUGGGGGGAACCCUGAUCCAGCCAUGCCGCGUGUGUGAAGAAGGCCCUCGGGUUGUAAAGCACUUUCAGUGAGGAAGAACGCCUGGUGGUUAAUACCCAUCAGGAAAGACAUCACUCACAGAAGAAGCACCGGCUAACUCCGUGCCAGCAGCCGCGGUAAUACGGAGGGUGCGAGCGUUAAUCGGAAUUACUGGGCGUAAAGCGCGCGUAGGUGGCCUGAUAAGCCCGUUGUGAAAGCCCCGGGCUCAACCUGGGAACGGCAUCCGGAACUGUCAAGCUAGAGUGCAGGAGAGGAAGGUAGAAUUCCCGGUGUAGCGGUGAAAUGCGUAGAGAUCGGGAGGAAUACCAGUGGCGAAGGCGGCCUUCUGGACUGACACUGACACUGAGGUGCGAAAGCGUGGGUAGCAAACAGGAUUAGAUACCCUAGUAGUC
rnacentral:rRNA from 1 species